rnacentral:rRNA from 1 species
CUCCUGGAAACGGGUGGUAAUGCCGGAUGUUCCAGUUGAUCGCAUGGUCUUCUGGGAAAGCUUUCGCGGUAUGGGAUGGGGUCGCGUCCUAUCAGCUUGACGGCGGGGUAACGGCCCACCGUGGCUUCGACGGGUAGCCGGCCUGAGAGGGCGACCGGCCACAUUGGGACUGAGAUACGGCCCAGACUCCUACGGGAGGCAGCAGUGGGGGAUAUUGCACAAUGGGCGCAAGCCUGAUGCAGCGACGCCGCGUGAGGGAUGGAGGCCUUCGGGUUGUAAACCUCUUUUAUCGGGGAGCAAGCGUGAGUGAGUUUACCCGUUGAAUAAGCACCGGCUAACUACGUGCCAGCAGCCGCGGUAAUACGUAGGGUGCAAGCGUUAUCCGGAAUUAUUGGGCGUAAAGGGCUCGUAGGCGGUUCGUCGCGUCCGGUGUGAAAGUCCAUCGCUUAACGGUGGAUCCGCGCCGGGUACGGGCGGGCUUGAGUGCGGUAGGGGAGACUGGAAUUCCCGGUGUAACGGUGGAAUGUGUAGAUAUCGGGAAGAACACC